rnacentral:lncRNA from 1 species
GGAGGGCGUCAUGGACGUGACCAGCAAUGACCUGGUGCCGUUAGAGCCGGACGCAGGCGUGGUGCCGGUCAAUUACCACAGCGCGACUGAGAAGCCAAUUGUCAUCUGCAAAUUGCGGCGAGGGCAGCACCUAAAGCUGGUCGCGCGUGCGCGCAAAGGCAUCGGGAAGGACCAUGCAAAGUUCAUUCCCGUCGCCACGGCGGUUUUCCAGUACAAGGCGCAAAUCACGCUCAGCGCGUCGGCAAUGGCGGAUAUGACGGACGACGAGAAGCAGGCUUUUGUGCACAGUGACCCGUCCAAAACCUUCAAGUUCAACCCCAUCACGCGCAUGGUGCGUACCUGCUUCUGGAGAGGGGCAGGAAACUGCCGAGGCCUAUGAGGCGUGUGCGGGGGGCCCAGGAGGCGUGUGCGGGGGCCCAAGGGAGUAGUGUGUGGGCAGUCCGGUGUUUCAGGGGCACGUGUUUGUAGGACAGAGUGCGGCGAGUCG